GCCUAGGUGGCGGAAUCGGUAGACGCAGUGGACUCAAAAUCCACCGCCUUUGCGGGCGUGCCGGUUCGAGUCCGGCUCUAGGCA
rnacentral:tRNA from 1 species